CCUAUACCACCUCUUGUGCUGUGACCUUGAAAAUCUCACAAGCCAAGCAGUAUCAGGCUGGGUCAGUAUUUGGACAGGAGACCUCCAAGGAACACACGGUUGCUUUAGGA
rnacentral:rRNA from 1 species